AUCUGAACCUGGCCGUUGGCCUUGGGCUCCUCUUGCCGCCGCAUCGUGUGGUUGGGGAACACAGUCCUGUGGUGGGGGCGGCAAAACUGUCCUGCCACCUGAGAGCUACCAUGAAAACAAAGAACCAGACCCACCUCGGCAGCCACGUUGCCCAACGUGUCCAGUCCGAGCUGUCGGAGUGAGAUGAGGUUACAGUGGGCACAGAGCAAAAGGAAGCGCAGGCACGUU